GGAGUUCGGUCCGUGUCUCAGUACCGAUGUGUGGGAUCUUCCUUUUAGAACCCAUAGGCAUCAUCGUCUUGGUGGGCCGUUGCCCCGCCAACUAACUAAUGCCACGCAUGCCCAUCCGCAACCUAUGAAUAUUUAAUCAUUAAGCGAUGCCGCAAAAUGAUACUAUCGGAGUUUAAUCGUCCUUUCGGUCGGCUAUCUCCGUGUUGCGGGCAGGUUGCAUACGCGUUACUCACCCGUCCGCCGCUCGCCACCAAAGUAUUGCUACCUCGUGUUGCCGCUCGACUUGCAUGUGUUAGGCCUGCCGCUAGCGUUUAUC
rnacentral:rRNA from 1 species